GCCCCAUGACUAUAAUGUGGGGUGCAACCUGCUCAGUGGCUAUAAAUAAAAAAUAAUAGUAGUUAAACAGCCGCGGUAACUCUGACCGUGAUAAAGUAGCAUAAUCACUCGUCAUUUAAUUGGUGACUGGAAUGAAUGGUUACACGAAUCUUUAACUGUCUCGAUUACAAAAUUUAUAAAUUUAAAAUAAUAGUGAAGAUGCUAUUUAUUAAUUGUAAGACGAAAAGACCCUAUCGAGCUUUACUAAUAACUUGAAUUUCAAAGAAAAACAGACAUGUUAAGAUAAUUAUUCAAGUAAACUAGUUUGGUUGGGGCGACCACCUCUAAAAAAGUAUCAGAGGAGAUCUAAAGGUUAAUAAGUAAUAUAAGAAAGCCUAACUGUAUAUCUACAAAUUAAUCAGUUACUAUUAGUAGGUUAUAAUGACCCGUUCGAUACAUCUCUUAAUCGAACGACAACGAAAAAAGUUACCGUAGGGAUAACAGGGUAAUAUUUCCGGAGAGUUCAUAUCGAUGGAUAUGUUUGCCACCUCGAUGUUGAAUUGUGAUAUCCUAAAGGUGUAGCAGCUUUAAAGGGUUG
rnacentral:rRNA from 1 species